AUACGUAGGGGGCGAGCGUUGUCCGGAAUGAUUGGGCGUAAAGGGUGCGUAGGCGGCGCGGUAAGUCUGGAGUGAAAGUCCUGCUUUCAAGGUGGGAAUUGCUUUGGAUACUGCCGCGCUUGAGUGCAGGAGAGGUUAUCGGAAUUCCCGGUGUAGCGGUGAAAUGCGUAGAGAUCGGGAGGAACACCAGUGGCGAAGGCGGGUAACUGGACUGCAACUGACGCUGAGGCGCGAAAGUGUGGGGAGCAAACAGGAUUAGAUACCCUGGUAGUCCACACUGUAAACGAUGAAUGCUAGGUGUAAGAGGUAUCGACCCCUUUUGUGCCGGAGUCAACACAAUAAGCAUUCCGCCUGGGGAGUACGGCCGCAAGGUUGAAACUCAAAGGAAUUGACGGGG
rnacentral:rRNA from 1 species